rnacentral:pre_miRNA from 1 species
UCUUAUGGAUGAGCAAAGAAAGUGGUAUCUUGAGGAAUCUACUCCUAGUGAAGAUGCUGUGAA